CGUAGGUGAACCUGCGGAAGGAUCAUUAAUGAAAUGCACCCUCGGGGUGUUGUGCUGGCGCUCCGGCGCAAUGUGCACGCCCCCUCUGGCGUUCAGACCCCUUCACACCUGUGCACGAACCCGUCGGACGGGAGUGGUGCCUUGCGCGCCCUCCGGUCUGGCCCUUCACAUCAGCUUAUUACCGUAUGUCGAAUGCAUCACUGCGCACGCGCAACCGAAAUACAACUUUUAACAACGGAUCUCUUGGUUCUC
rnacentral:misc_RNA from 1 species